rnacentral:rRNA from 1 species
CCUACGGGGGGCAGCAGUGGGGAAUAUUAGACAAUGGGCGAAAGUCUGAUCCAGCCAUGCCGCGUGUGUGAAGAAGGCCUUCGGGUUGUAAAGCACUUUCAGUGGGGAAGAAAGCCUUGGGGCUAAUACCCUCGAGGAAGGACAUCACCCACAGAAGAAGCACCGGCUAACUCCGUGCCAGCAGCCGCGGUAAUACGGAGGGUGCGAGCGUUAAUCGGAAUUACUGGGCGUAAAGCGCGCGUAGGCGGUCUGAUAAGCCGGUUGUGAAAGCCCCGGGCUCAACCUGGGAACGGCAUCCGGAACUGUCAGGCUAGAGUGCAGGAGAGGAAGGUAGAAUUCCCGGUGUAGCGGUGAAAUGCGUAGAGAUCGGGAGGAAUACCAGUGGCGAAGGCGGCCUUCUGGACUGACACUGACGCUGAGGUGCGAAAGCGUGGGUAGCAAACAGGAUUAGAUACCCUUGUAGUC